UGGGGAAUAUUGCACAAUGGGCGCAAGCCUGAUGCAGCCAUGCCGCGUGUGUGAAGAAGGCCUUCGGGUUGUAAAGCACUUUCAGCGAGGAGGAAGGUGGUGAGCUUAAUACGCUCAUCAAUUGACGUUACUCGCAGAAGAAGCACCGGCUAACUCCGUGCCAGCAGCCGCGGUAAUACGGAGGGUGCAAGCGUUAAUCGGAAUUACUGGGCGUAAAGCGCACGCAGGCGGUUUGUUAAGUCAGAUGUGAAAUCCCCGGGCUCAACCUGGGAACUGCAUUUGAAACUGGCAAGCUAGAGUCUCGUAGAGGGGGGUAGAAUUCCAGGUGUAGCGGUGAAAUGCGUAGAGAUCUGGAGGAAUACCGGUGGCGAAAGGCGGCCCCCUGGACGAAGACUGACGCUCAGGUGCGAAAAGCGUGGGGAGCAAAACAGGAUUAGAUACCCUGGUAGUCCACGCUGUAAAACGAUGUCGACUUUUGGAGGUUGUGCCCCUUGAGGCGUGGCUUCCGGAGCUAAACGCGUUAAAUCGACCGCCUGGGGAGUACGGCCGCAAGGUUAAAAACUUAAAAUGAAUUGACGGGGUCAUAGCUGUUUCCU
rnacentral:rRNA from 1 species